UGCGUCAUUCAAAGUUGCUGCUUCCUGGUUGAUUUUCUGUUUGGAGGAUCUAUCCAUUGAUAUUCUUCGAGAGUCAAACCAGAGUUGCUGUAUUUUUGGACUAUGUUUUCAGGCACCAUGCUGGUUGUGGAGCUUGUAGAAAUGAAGAUGAUCUACGUUCUGGAUACCCAAGUUCUCCUGGAACUCUCAUUUUGCAGGUGCAAAAUCCUCAUCAAGGGCUAAGCACUGAAGAAAUAGUUGUAAGGCAUCACCUAAAAAACCAGCAUCCUGGAGUACUUUUCCUUUCCUGAAGUAGACCUUCAAUGGAAGCACAUAUAUACAACUUUUACUGACAGAAUUAUUUUUGAAAAAUCAGUUUCAAGAAAAAAAAAUACGGUUUGCUUGGAAAUGUGCAUUUUAAAAUUCUGAAUGACUCUGAGAAGCCCAAAGCAUUUCAAAGGUACAGUUACACACUUCCCCCAGAGAAGUGCUUAUGGAAAAAUGACUUCAAAACCAAAUUCCUAAUUAUAUCACUUCAGUAAUCCAGAGGAUUCUUUCUUUUUUUAAUAGUUUUAAAAUUGUCCAUACAAGAUCAUUUUCCAUCUUCUUAAUAUAUAUUUGCCUUGUGCUAACCAGUCAGGCCAUCAUGGGAUUCUGUGUCAUUUUUCUUAUUAAUUUAUAAUUUUUAGAGCAUCCUUACUAUUUUGUCCUCAAAGGCAUGGUUUCAAAUGGGCAAACAGUCAUAUAAGACAGUAACUUCUAGCUUAAAGAACAUAUAUGGGACAUGAACUGAUUUGCCUUGGCAAUAUGAUACAAAGGAGAAUGAGUAAACUUAUUACAUAAGAUAUAUUUGCCUCAAGUCUUUUUUUAAAAGCAUAUGGGUAAGGCAACCUCCCUGGUCCCCACUGACUGUAUUAAAUCACUGCCUCAUCAGGCCUCCAUGAUGAUGCCUCCAUCUUCCAGCCUAAAGGACCUCGUCUCUUUGCAUCAACAGACCUCCUCCAUCAAUUUUCAGCUUGGAUACAUUUUCACAGUGUGACCAGUUUCAUCUCUUUGAGGAAAUUUUGAUUAUUCAAGUCUCUUUGUUUGUUUUUCUCUAUGCCUUAAAUUCAGGUUGUUCUUAGUUAGGAAAUAAAGGUACCUUUUAAUUAAAAAAAUUGCUAGAUAGCCAUCCACACAAAAUACUAACCCCAGAUUUCUAAAACUCUAUAUAUUUUAAGAGUCAACAAAUCUAUCUUGGUAAAACUUGUAACCAUAACUGAAUUCAUGUUCCCUACAGGUGAAAUUAUUAAGUGUAUAUAAAUGUAAAACAAUAAUUUUACCUCAGGCCAAUUUGGCAGUUGAAAGAGAACUGCAUUUAAAUCUUCUAUGGCUGCUUUAAACUCUUGAAGACCAGCAUAUGAUUCCGCUCGGUAAAUUUUUAGAGUCACGUCACUGGGCUCUGAAAUAAAUAUUUUGUAAAGGGUUAUUUUAAAAAUAUUAUUGUAUAACCCAUAAAAAAUACACUAGAUUAAGAACUGCCUUAGUGAUGCCAGCCAAUAACCACUAAGCAAAGUACAGUAUACAAGCAACCCACUUAUGUGUUGAAUAUUAUCUGGAAGUUUUAUCACAUGACUCUAUGUGGAUAAUUUUAGCACAAGAAAUGGUGGUUUUUAAGUACUGGAAAUAUUUUAUAAUAUGAAUAAUCACCUUCAAGAAAACAAAUGUUUUCUUAAAAUACGGCAUUCUAUACAGAUUUGAAAAACAGGUGCUAGAGGUUUAGAAAACCUGCCUCUUUAUGGUAAAUCUUAUUUUUUUAUACCUUAAUUUCUAAAUCCUCACUUAUAAACAAGCAUAUGUGCUACUACUGCACACUGAUGGGUUAAUUUAGGAGGUCAAAAUUCAUCAAUUGUUACAGGUACAUAGUUUCUAAAACGGAAGCCUAAGCCAAAAAUUAAUUUUCAGUACAUCUAAAGGACAAAAUUAAUCUGACUCUUCUUUUAAAGCUAUUCAUCUUAGAAGCCUUCAAAAGCACAUGCUUAGAAAAUAAAACAUUGAUCGUGAAAAGGGUAUAAAGACCCGUAAUUCCUCAUUUAAAAAACAAUAUAUAAUAAAACUCAACAGUUCCCUAGUUUAGUUUUUAAAUGACUGCCUUCCUACAUAUAACUCUCAACAAUGACAUUGGAUUUUUUCAGCUGAUGCUUCAGAAUUGGAACUACACUGUUCCUUCAAAUUUGUACCAAUGAAAAUUUCCAAAGGAGAAUGGAAUCUUUCAGGAAAAUAUUUCAUGCUUCCUAAAUAAAAAAGACAUGUCUAGAAUAUUUUGUCUUUUGUUUCUUAA